CAGCAGCCACGGUAAUACGUAGGUCCCGAGCGUUGUCCGGAUUUAUUGGGCGUAAAGCGAGCGCAGGCGGUUAGAUAAGUCUGAAGUUAAAGGCUGUGGCUUAACCAUAGUACGCUUUGGAAACUGUUUAACUUGAGUGCAAGAGGGGAGUGGAAUUCCAUGUGUAGCGGUGAAAUGCGUAGAUAUAUGGAGGAACACCGGUGGCGAAAGCGGCUCUCUGGCUUGUAACUGACGCUGAGGCUCGAAAGCGUGGGGAGCAAACAGGAUUAGAUACCCGAGUAGUCCCUGUCUCUUAUACACA
rnacentral:rRNA from 1 species